rnacentral:sRNA from 1 species
AAGUCAAAACUUUCAACAACGGAUCUCUUGGUUCUGGCAUCGAUGAAGAACGCAGCGAAAUGCGAUAAGUAAUGUGAAUUGCAGAAUUCAGUGAAUCAUCGAAUCUUUGAACGCACAUUGCGCCCGCCAGUAUUCUGGCGGGCAUGCCUGUUCGAGCGUCAUUUCAACCAUCAAGCCCCCGGCUUGUGUUGGGGACCUGCGGCUGCCGCAGGCCCUGAAAACCAGUGGCGGGCUCGCUGUCACCCCGAGCGUAGUAGUUACAUCUCGCUCUGGGCGUGCUGCGGGUUCCGGCCGUUAAAAGCCUUAUUUACCCAAGGUUGACCUCGGAUCAGGUAGGAAGACCCGCUGAACUUAA